AGGGAAAACCGUGAUCACGUGCCUCCGAUUGGCUUUUCCCUCUCCCCAGCGCACCCUCGGGGCGGGGCCGGGGCGUCUUUGGUCUGUAUCUGUGUCCUCACAUCGCCUCGUCUCUCUGACUCCCACCCUUCUCCCCUCUUGUCACCUUUCCCUUUCUCCCUGCCUCGGUCAUCAGCGGUGUCUCUAACACUAACUGGGCCCUGCAUGGGCACCGGCACUGUGAUGCAGACGGCCAGGACCCGCCCCCUGAGCUCACGGAGGUGCUGCCCCGCUGCUGAGUUUGCCCCUCCCAGGGAACAGAGGAGGGAGCAGGAGCGCUAAAGGGGAGUCGGGAAGCUUUCUGCAAAGGCGAGUGAAGGAAGGAUUCAGACGUAAAGACAUGGGCCCUGUAACUACGCAAACAACACAAAUUAUUCUCCCUCAUCCCAGCUAACCAUCUCCUGUACCUUCCUUCAUUCUACAGAUCACUCAAGAUAAAG